rnacentral:miRNA from 7 species
CUUUUCAGUGGUGCCCAGAGACAGGACAAGGGGCAGUGGGCACAAACUGGAACACAGG